UUUACUAUGAGAGUAUAAACUCAUAGUAAAGGCUACAUGUUAGCAAGCAGUUGCUUAUACACAGUAGAUCCACACCCAGCAUACAUCAACGUUUGAUGACCUGACAAAUGCCUGUUGUAUUGGAAAGAAUUUCAGUUGAGUUUGUGAGGGAUGAAUGCUUCAAGGUGUACAAAACUGAUCAUAAAAACUGAUCAGAGAUCACCUGUUAAGAUGACAGUGCAGAGACGGAGAAGGAAAUAAGGGGAGAGAUGGAUGACAUGUGAUGGUGAUCCUGGGACAGACGGCGAGAUUGCAUCAUAUGUUUCCUGUCCAACUCAGCCACUGGGAUGACUGUUUCCUCUUCUCAAACGAAUGACUGAAUGUGUUUUUGUGCCCAGUUGUAAAUUCAAGUGUACUAUAUGUCUCCAGUGCUCACCACAUCAGUAGUUAUCUCUCUGUUGAGAUUAAUAAAAAAUGUU